rnacentral:tRNA from 1 species
CAGGAAGUAGUUUAAUCAGAAUAUCAGCUUUGGGUGUUGAUGGCAGGGUAUUAUACCUUCUUCUUGA